UACGAAGGGUGCAAGCGUUAUUCGGAUUGAUUGGGCGUAAAGGGUGUGUAGGCGGUAUAUUAAGUCAAUUGUUAAAUCUCUCAGCUCAACUGGGAAUCAGCGGUCGAAACUAAUAUGCUGGAGGAUGGGAGAGAGAAGUGGAAUUCUCGGAGUAGCGGUAAAAUGCGUAGAUCUCGAGAGGAACACCGAUGGCGAAGGCAGCUUCUUGGCCCAUUCCUGACGCUGAUACACGAAAGCGUGGGGAGCAAACAGG
rnacentral:rRNA from 1 species